AAGAAACUACAGGCAAGAAGACUCCAGUAAAGGCAAGGCACAUAGUCAUGAAUAAAGGAAGACUUCAACAGUAACAGCAAAAUCAAAGUUAUGUGCCCUCAUGGUGGCUCCUUUUAGGCUGGUGUCCUCACUAAGAAAUCAGACUUCCCUUGGCUGUACAGCUCCUGGGACUUGCAUGAACACUUGGCUGUUUUGGAAUGAAAUUGUUCCGUCUUCUAAACAAAUGAUCUGUGAUGCCUUGAAGGCUGCUUGGAGAGACUCCACUGCUCUUCAGCUGUCCCACUUCUACACUGUUUGUAGAGAAGUGUUGUACCCAAUUUACCUAGCUUGUAUUUUGUGGAUGGCUUUUAACUACAAGCACCUACAACACCAGCCUUUCUACUUUCUGGGCUGGAGAAGCUGGAGGCUUGGUUUCCAGAAUGAAGAGCUGGUGCUGAGAGAUGGGUUCCAGAGAGAAAAGGCCGUCCAAAGAGAAUGUGAAGAUCCUGACUGAAGGAUGUAUCUGGGAAGUGAAGGAAGAUCCUGGAGGUGAG
rnacentral:lncRNA from 1 species